GAAAAAUAUCACUAAAAAUGAAAAACAAGGAGAAGAGAUAGAGAACAGACUGGAAGAGUCACAAACAAGUGAAUCAAGAGAGUCACUGAAACGUAGACACAGCAGCAUGGAGAAUUUAAAACCAGAUCUCUCGCAUGAUCCAGUCAAACCUGCAGGGUCUCGUUCUCAUGUAUCAGAGACGCUUCAAGCAGUGAAAACACUACACAUUCAUUUUUAUCGCUGAUAUCUUCAACCAGAGGCUCCACAUCUCCGUGAACCUAAAAAAAGGGAAGAAUGGAAAUCUUCAAGCAGCUCAGACGAAACAGAGUUUCUUGCCAGAAUGGGUAAUAGUUGAAUUGACCUCUGUUUUCAUGUACGUGAGUGCUUAGAAAGACCCAUCCUGCAUCGCCAAAAAUCAUGACUGAACCAUUCAAGACCCUCUGCAGUUUGCUUUCCGAGCUAAUGUUUCAGAGCAAUGCCUUUAUCUGCAUCACCUGCACUACUGACUAUCGUCUCAACCAAAACCAGUAUUAAUACCUGGUGUAAACAGGAUGGUCCACAAGACUAAAACGGCUACUUAGAGAUGAAGAGAGUAUUUAUGUUGCCACCAUAGUGUCAAAAGAAAUUGAAUGUACUUAUGCAUGAAUUC
rnacentral:lncRNA from 1 species